UACGUAGGGUGCGAGCGUUAAUCGGAAUUACUGGGCGUAAAGCGUGCGCAGGCGGUUUUGUAAGCCAGAUGUGAAAGCCCCGGGCUCAACCUGGGAAUGGCAUUUGGGACUGCAAGGCUUGAGUGCGGCAGAGGAGACUGGAAUUCCUGGUGUAGCAGUGAAAUGCGUAGAUAUCAGGAGGAAUACCGAUGGCGAAGGCAGCUCGCUGGGACGUUACUGACGCUGAGACGCGAAAGCGUGGGGAGCAAACAGG
rnacentral:rRNA from 1 species